rnacentral:rRNA from 1 species
GACGAACGCUGGCGGCGUGCUUAACACAUGCAAGUCGAACGGAAAGGCCCUGCUUUUGUGGGGUGCUCGAGUGGCGAACGGGUGAGUAACACGUGAGUAACCUGCCCUUGACUUUGGGAUAACUUCCGGAAACUGGGGCUAAUACCGGAUAGGAGCUCCUGCUGCAUGGUGGGGGUUGGAAAGUUUCGGCGGUUGGGGAUGGACUCGCGGCUUAUCAGCUUGUUGGUGGGGUAGUGGCUUACCAAGGCUUUGACGGGUAGCCGGCCUGGGAGGGUGACCGGCGACAUUGGGACUGAGAGACGGCGCAGACUCCUACGGGAGGCAGCAGUGGGGAAUAUUGCACAAUGGGCGGAAGCCUGAUGCAGCAACGCCGCGUGCGGGAUGACGGCCUUCGGGUUGUAAACCGCUUUCGCCUGUGACGAAGCGUGAGUGACGGUAAUGGGUAAAGAAGCACCGGCUAACUACGUG